GUAUGGUUUUGUAACCAGUUCAGAUGAAUUAAAACAAAAACGCCACCGCAGGAAAGAGGGGUGCAGUGAAUCAGGCCAGGGAGACAGAGAUAUGUCCAGGCAUUACCUUGAGAGAAAGCCCUCCGUCUUUAAAAUCUUGCGGCUUCUGAGAAACAGCUGAUAGCUGGCAGUGAGCUUGGAGUCAGAGCAGAGCUGCCCUCCUGGAGGUGGGCAGCUUCCGGAAGCCGCUGCUGUUCCUUGGAGCACGGCUGUGGCCCUCCGACCUCUGCUUCCACCACCACCUCGCCUGACUGACCGCACGACGACACUGGGUCCCCCAAGCUCAUGGAAGAUAAUCUGCCUUGUGCAACACGCCUAACUCACUUACACCUGCAGAAUCCCUUUCUGUAGGGUAAUGCCGUGGUACAUGCUGAGUCAUAUCUGCAGGUUCUGGAGAUUAAAUUAUGGGUAUUUCGGGGAGAUUUUCCAGCCCUCCACAAAAGACAUGUUCAGGACACACGCGCCUAGGGGAGCAGAGGCCAGGAAGGCUUCCCAUAGAGGACUGGCCUUUGUUUGCCAGCAAAGAGCUGAAGGGCGUCCGAGGGAGAGGGGGCAGUGUGGGCCAGUGCUCAGAGCUCCAGGACACCUGUGCUUAGGGGAUUGACAGAUCACGUGCUGAGGCCUGGGCUGAGGGUUGCGGCAAGGGAUGGCACUGAAAGAGGGACAGGACCUUGAACGCUGGUUGAGCUCGGACUGUGUCAUGGGCAGUGGAGCCUGCAGGGACUCGGCUGAGGAGUCCCAAGAUGAGGUGACAGGGGACUGUGGAUGCCAGGGUUUUUGUCCCUUUUCUUUUGGCAGUGGGGCGAUGUUGUGAAAGUCCUUUUUCCCUGUCUGGGUCUUCAGUUCUCAGCUUCAGCAUGGCAGGGUGGACUGGUGAUUUUUCGUGGUUCAUGACAUUUUUCCAUCGGGGAGAGAUUCAGAGCAGCAGAACUGCUCUCUUACCGGCCUUGAAGAGGAGAUCACGUGCGGGAAUGGCUGGUCCCUUCCAGGAGCUGAGGGCUCGCCUACAAUGCCAAGGUCUUAAUUCAUCAACAACCCACGCAUUUGGAGCAGGACCUGAGUUUUCCGUUGAGAAUGCAUCCUCGCUGACACCUUGUUUGCAACUGGGAACCUGAGCAGACUCUAGUAAGCUCUUCCUGGACUCCUGCCCUAUCAGCACCAAAGAAAUAAAUGAUCUUGC